GGCAUCUUAGCUCAAUGGUAGAGCGCUCAGACACUAUCUGAGAGGUCGGUCGUUCGAUUCGAUCACAUGCCA
rnacentral:tRNA from 1 species